GGUGAUAGACUCCACGGCACGCUUGCGUGAGGUGGUCGCCGCCCCGAUCGUUUCUAGCAAAGUUGUAAGAUGGAUUGCUUGCAACACCUUAACCCCUCGCCUAUAUGUAGACGGUAAUCUUGGUACAAUUGUUCGCGCUCGGAAUUCUGCGUUGAAUGGACACCAACGACACCUUGACCCCUCGCUUAUAUUGAAGCGGUAAUCUCGGUACAAUCGACGAUUGAUGCGGUAGAAGACGCCACACACAACUAUGAAUUGUUGUAUGAUAAGUCAAAUUGAAUCUCAAAGAAAUA
rnacentral:lncRNA from 1 species